UACGGGGGGAGCAAGCGUUGUUCGGAUUUACUGGGCGUAAAGGGUGCGUAGGCGGCCGUGCAAGUCUGGCGUGAAAGCCCCGGGCUCAGCCCGGGAAGUGCGCUCGAAACUGCGCGGCUCGAGUGCCGGAGGGGAGAGUGGAAUUCCUGGUGUAGCGGUGAAAUGCGUAGAUAUCAGGAGGAAUACCGGUGGCGAAAGCGACUCUCUGGACGGCAACUGACGCUGAGGCAUGAAAGCGUGGGGAGCAAACAGG
rnacentral:rRNA from 1 species